GAUUUUAAUGGAGUGUUGGGCUUAGGUUUGGGUUGAAUCAGUUGGGCUUUUGUUUUAAUCUCUUUGGGCCGGUUUUUAUUUUAUUAAACAGUUGGGCCUUUAUUUUAUUUAUCAGUUGGGCUGAUUAGUUUAAUUCAGCUGGGCCUUAUUUUAAAUCCUAAUUGGGUCAGUUUUAUUUUAAAACUUUGGGCUGUCUUGAUUAAUUAAUUAAUUGGGCUGCUCUAUUUUAAUUAAUUGAACUAUUAAUUAGUUUAAUUAAUUAUUUUCAAAGACUAAUUUUCAUAAUAAUAUUAAAAUUAUUAUUAUGUGCAUAUUUUAAGUAAAUUACUUAUUAUAUGUUAAGCAAGACAUGAAAUUGCAUUAUAUUUUGCAAUAAGAGAAUUUAUGAUUUAAUUGGUUUUAAUUAUAAUUCCAAUUAUUAAAGAAAGUCGAGUAAGAAUAUUGUUGGUGUUCUUAACUCAAGAGAAAUGUUUUUAAUUAUUUAUUCAUUAAAUUUUAAAAACCCGGCUAAGUGAAUCAUAGAAUAUUAAGCACUACACCAUGACUUAAGAUUAGCUUCACGAGACCUAUUAAGAAUAGAAUUUCUUGUAGGCUUUGUGACCAGGGGGAUUAGCGCUGCUUUCCCAAGACAGGUUUUUAUGUGUAUGAUCUUCAGGCUUUGCCUAUCCAGGUUGGCUGGCCGGUGCUGACGGGACGGAGCUGAGGCUAGCGAUAAAUUCCUAUGUUAGACUUCCGCUGUAGCAAUUACUCAUAUCAGUCUUUUGUUUUCCCAACUUAAGAUCUUCAUGUUAAAUUUCAAAUGAUAUAUCUGACCGAGCUUAGACUCUUCACUACUUAAUUUAUGCCAAUGAAUGUCGGUUGUCAGAAGCAUGAAACAAAACUUGUGAUCCAAAGGGGCAUAGCCCGACUUUCUAUCAUAUUUCGGGUUUUUACAA